UAUUUGAAGAAGUAAAAUCAGUAAGUGUGGUCUUACCGAAGAACAAAGUGAUGGGAAGAUUUUAUUACUAAUUUUUUUUAGUGUGUUGGGUUUGGUUGGGUUUAAAGGAAAAGGACCACUUUAUUGCAAGAGUAUAUGGACCCUAUAUUCUGGGACCUAAUGGUGACAGGAGUUCUUGUUCCAGAAUCAGGAACAACUAUCUCAUAAUUCCAAAGAACAAUUUCAACCUGGAAGUGGUUGUAUCUGGGGACCUGUUAGAGGAUUAAAACACUGUAUGGAGGUUAAGAGGCCAAGUAGUACACAGUUUAGAGGUGAAACAAGUGCAUAGAAAGAAUUAGAUAUUUGUUAAGAUUGUAGAUGCUGUUACUCUGAUACCCCUUUGCCACCACCAGGAGCACACAACUCUACACCUACGUGUCCUUGCAAGAAACAGAAGGAGAUUCCUUGGAAUGAAACCAAUGGGAGUCCAGGGUUUGGGAGAAUCUCAUCAGAGCAGAUGGGCCAGCAGCAGCCAGAAAGCUUGUUGCCUUUGGCUGAGAGCACUCUCCUGGAUCUGAACGUCUCGUAGGGAAGCUGAGGCCCAAGGACAGGAACGGACUUGCCAUGGACAUCCCAGGAGCCCAGAGGCAACUCGGACCAAGGUAAGUCCGUCCUUCUGAAUCUCUUAGAUCAACUCUGAAUCCAUACAGUAACCAUGCAGGCCCAUGCGCAGGGGCUCCUUAUCUGCACCCAGCAGGGGCGUGGCCAUCAGCAACAGGACCUCAGCAGGAGGAGGGUCACAGACUUGCCCAUUUCUGCCAAGCACCAGAGAGCUGCCACUGCCCUGCCUCCUGUCCUGCAGCCACAAACAUGAAGUCGCAGACCUUUUUUAUUCCCCCAUUAAUACUUAACAUACCAUUUACUCUGUGCCAGGCACCAAUUUUAGUGCUCUACAAAGAGUAAUUUAUAUAAUCCUCAUUGAAUGGGAGGCUAUAUUGAUUUUGAUAUCUUUCCUGAGAAAAGCAUAUCCCUGCCUGUGUUCUGGACCUGGUGCGUUUCUAUAAACAGGUCUUCUGAAACUUUUUUUCUGAUCCUCAGUUUCCUCUUUUGUAAAACAGGUUUGAGUCCCGGACCUGUCAGCACUGCCCCCUAAGGGCAGAAUGUAGAACCAAUGGGUGGAAUUACAGGGAGGCGGAUUGCAGCUCAGGGUAGGUAAGAACUUUCCAGCUGAGCUGAUCACAGGAGAAAUGGGCUGCCCUUAACAGUAGUGAGCUUCCUGUUGUCUGAAGCAAUCAAGCAGAAGCAAGCAGCCACAGGGCAGUACAGAGCUGCCUGGGCCCUGGGGCCACCUGCUUUGCUGGUUUUCAGAUUGUUCUACAGCAGCACUUUCCUCCCCACCUUCCUAGGGAGUCACAGAGGCGGAGCGCUGGGGAAGAGAAGGGGCUUCAUACGUGUUUAUUGAAUCAGUGAGUGGUGGGGACACCAGGGCCCAGCCUGAGGCUUCCAGGAACACAACAUGGAAAUCCCUGAUCUGUCCAGUUGUCUACUUGGACAGACGACAGAACCCCACAAGGAGAGUCGCCACUGCACUCUGCACACACAGCCCCACACCAAUGUUAACAGCACUGCCUGUACCUGCAAAGAACAUCUCUGUACGGGUUCCCACCACUGCCCUCAUGGAGGGAAUGGCAUGGAGGAAGGGGCUGGGGGGACAACUUGCCCCUAUUCUAUACUCCUGUUCCUAUUGAAUGUUUAGCGCAUGCAAGUAUUAUUUAUAUUUUUAAAAGUACAAAUAGAUUAAUUUUGUUAUUCAAAAGAAAGCCACUUAGGCUGAGAGCCGUAGUGCCCAGGGGCCUGGAACAGCAUCAGGGCCCAAAUGGAACCAUGGCAGAGCCUCCGCUAGGCCCAGCAGCAUCCCCUGGGCCACUUCUGUGACUAACAUGGUCCCAUCUUGGCCUCCCAGACCCCAGACAUAGACCUUCCCGCUGGAAGAGGUGCCAAAGCCAUUAGCAUGACAUUUUGCCGUUCCAGGAAGCCCAGGGUCGUCAGAGGACGCCAGUGCCAGGUCUGCUGCCCACCCUCUCUGGGGGUGCCCUCUGGAUCCCUGCAUCCUCUAGCUGCCCUGUCCUGGGGCAUCCCCAUUACUCACAUUGGGGCUCACCCUGUGGUCCAAGAAUAUGCCUGUGAUCCUAGGUGGGAAUCUAUGUGCUUUUGUGCCACACGGAGGAGAAGGUGGGGCUUUCCUAACUUGUCCAAAGGAGUCUUAAAGAGCCACUGACCCACAGGGGAAACCCAAACUCCUUCCCCUGGCACGGCAGGCCUGAGUCAGCCUCCACCCUCCCUGCCCACUCUCUUCAUCUCUUUCUGUCACUCAGCAGCCAGGUCACCUCUCCCUGGCCUAAUGCCCACGUGCUCAUUCUGUCCUUAGGGCCAUUUCCCAGGCUUUGUCCCCUCCUGACACACCUGCCCCAAUGCAUGAAGAUCCUGCCUAUCCUGCAGGACCCAUCAGGUGUCACCUCUUCCAGGGGGCCCUCUCUCCCAGUCCUGCCCUCCUUAGAAGUCGGGUCGAUUCACCACAUAUGACUUCUGCCUUGGCACCAGCUGCUACCCUGCACCUUGGCCUGUUCCUCAACGAGUGAGGGCACCCACUGGGGCUGCCUGGAGAAGCAGGAGACAGUGGUGCAACAUCCCCUGGGAUAAGCAGCUGCGUCUCUUGUUCUGAGUCUUCUGUCCUCUGGGGACACAAAGAGCCACAUCUCCGCCUCUGGCCCGGCUUUUCUCACGGACUUACUUGACUGGGCCCCGCCCCAGCCAGACAUGUUCCCUGCACUUGGGAAAGUGUAGAUAGAUUUUUCUAGAAUGGAAUUCUUUAGAAAAAUGUAAUGGUGAGGGGUACAACCCUGGGGUUCGGCAUCCAGGGUAUUGAUCAGAGACUCGACCUCAGAGUAGCCAGUGAUCUUUCUCAGUGGAGCAGGAAACAGUGUAGCGGAGGCUGCACUCCCAGCUGUGACGGGGACAGAGGAGGGGCGGGAGGAGAGGGAGCCCGAGCCAGGCAUGGACUCCAAGUCCCCCCUCACACCCAGCUUGCUCUCAGGAGCCCCCGCAUGGACACGCCCACGUACCCAGCAGCCCGGGGCCUCAAGGAAUAGGAGAGUGAAAGGACCAAAGGGCCAGGAACAGCGUGAAGGGCUCUGGGAUCCAUCCACAUCAGGAGAUGCUCCUGUGUCCUUCCCUGGCUCUGGCUUCCCUACGAGUAACAGGGGGGUCAUAACACCCGCCUGGCCACAUGGGCAGGAGAUCAAAGGAGGCACUGUGCUAACAACCUUUGCAACUGUGAAGCUCUGCCCACAGGGGAGAGAGAAAACCCCCGGUAUCCUCCCAUCGGCUCCCUGUGGAGGAGACUGGCCUGAGCCUUCCAGAGCCUCACCAAGCACAGCUCAAACAGCCCAUGGUCUGGAUGGAACUGAGGUCCAGCUCCCAAAGGUUGUGGAAGUCAGGAUGCAGAUGGGUAGGGGAGGGGGCUGGGGGACAGCUCCAUGGCUUCAAGCCUCUAGCAGCUCAAGAAACAUCUGGGUCCCUACCCCAUCUGCCCCACCAACCUUCUCAGGGUCCUCAUCACUGUCAUCAACUCACCGGGUCCUCAUGACACCUUUGUGAGCUCAGAGAGACAGAGAGACUUAUCCCAUUUUAUAGAUGAGGAAAUGGGCCCAGAGAGGGGCAGCUGGCUUUCCAUAGCCACACAGCACAUCCCAUCCUCCUACAUCAGGGAUCCUGACUCUCAGAAAACCAAGAGGGGGC